AGGACAAAUUUGCGGGGAAAGAGAGAAGAUUGGGCAAAAAUUUGGCAUGAGAACAGCCUUUAACCUGUCCCUUCAAUACAUUUGCUGCCUCAGAAAGGAAGAGGCCACAAGGAGCUCCUGGUUUCUACUACAGCCUCCAGAGUCUCUAAUUCCGUCCCCAAGGAUGGUGUGGGCAGCAUGGUUGGGGGGCAUCCACGGUCUUCAGCGGUCCCACUCUGGAGCCUCCCACACCACACUGUGGGCACUGUGGACAUUCAGCCAUUCUCCGUGAAGGAGCUAGAGCCAUCUUUGCCAAGAGCAAACCUGAUCAUAAUCCUCCCCGGCUUAAAACCGAUAUGCAGUAUAGCCUGCUGAUAGC
rnacentral:lncRNA from 1 species